rnacentral:lncRNA from 1 species
GAGUUUACUUUUGGAAGAUUAUGAGAAGAGGAAAGUAAGAGUGAAAGCAAUAGUGUUAUGUGACUUGAUCUCCAUUUGAAAUCCUCUCCUCGUCUGACUAGUUUGUUUUCCAGUCAGCCUUAUUACCUAUUCACACACUGAUUGCCAAAUAAGCUCCAUGAGGCUCAUAGGUGGAAGGAACUUGCAUCUCUUGGAUGAGACUUUGGACUGUGGACUUUUGCAUUAAUGCUGAAAUGAGUUAAGACUUUGGUGGACUGUUGGGAAGGCAUGAUUGGUUUUGAAAUGUG